UGGGGGAAUUGAAAGACUAUGA
rnacentral:miRNA from 1 species